UCUCUCUCUCUCUCUCUCUCUCUCUCUCUCUCUGUGAGGGAUCCCAAGAUUCAGCCAGAGGAUCGAAUCCUGUGGCCCGGCUUCUUUGAACUCUAGGGUUUUCUCGAUUCUGCUCUUCCUCCUCUGUCUCAAUUAUUCUUCUUAGUCGACGACUCUGGGAGAUCCGAGCUUUUUUUCAUUCCCAAAUAUAGCCGAUUUCUAUUGCCUGCACCACGAGAAACCGACCAUGGGGAAAGGAUUUGGAUCUGACCUCUUUGUAAACGAUGGUUCUUUUAUGGAAAAGUUUAAGCAACUCCAGCAAGAAAAGCAAGAAAGCGCGAAGCCUAAAUCUCCGGCUGGCUCUUCUGUUGGUGUGAAGCCAGCCGUUCUGGUGCACAAGAGGCCAUUAGAUAUGAAGACGAAGACUAAUCCCCCUGUAUCUGGUGGAAAGCUUGCCUUCAGCUUAAAACAUAAGUCCAAGAUUGCAGCGGCCCCUGUAAAAUUUGUUGCUGAUGAAGAGGAGGAACGAGAGGAUGUAGAGGCUGGAUCAAUUGACGAUCGAGCAAAGCGGCAGAAAUUCAGUCAAGAUGAUGCCUCUAAGCCAUCGUCACGUCAGGGGGAUGUUGCACCAUCUCCCCCAAGUGAUCCUGCAGUGAGGAAAGUUGCUGACAAAUUAGCAAGUUUUGUCGCAAAAAAUGGUAGGCAGUUUGAGCACAUCACGCGCCAAAGAAAUCCUGGAGAUACUCCUUUCAAAUUUUUGUUUGAUUCAAGCUGUCCAGAUUAUAGAUACUAUGAGUAUCGGCUUCUUGAGGAGGAAAGGGCACUUGCACAGUCAAAGGACUCUCAGGCAUCACAAGCUGCUAAUGCAAGUGCUUCAACUUCUAGAACAUCAAGUGGUUCUCAAAGGAGCAACUCCCAACAACAUUCUAAUUACCAAACUCCUGCUUCGGCAUUAUAUGGGACUUAUGAGGAACCUGCAUCUGCAGGAAGAGCCUCUCCUAAUGGUGAUUGCAGUGGACCUCCAGGUGCAGAUCCUAUAGCAAUGAUGGAAUAUUACAUGAAGAAAGCUGCACGAGAAGAACAAAAGAGGCAACCUAAGCAGUCAAAAGAUGAAAUGCCACCACCUGCCUCUCUUCAAGCUUCUGUCAAGAAGGGCCAUCACAUGGGUGAUUACAUUCCACCAGAAGAGCUGGAGAAGUUUCUGGCUGCUUGCAAUGAUGCUGCUGCACAGAAAGCAGCUAGAGAGGCUGCAGGGAAGGCUAAAAUCCAGGCUGACAAUAUUGGACACAAGCUUUUAUCUAAAAUGGGCUGGAAAGAAGGUGAGGGUCUUGGCAGCGAUAAGAGUGGUCGUGCAUAUCCUGUGAUGGCAGGAAAUGUCAAGUUGGAUAACUUGGGUGUUGGUGCACAUCAACCUGGUGAGGUCACGCCAGAUGAUGACAUCUAUGAGCAGUACAAGAAGAGGAUGAUGCUUGGUUACCGUUAUAGACCAAACCCACUGAACAAUCCCCGGAAAGCAUAUUACUAAGGAGAACACCUGUGGCCUGGUCAAGUUGUAAGUCAGCCAUCGUUGUAUGCUUUUAAAGUAAGCCUCUAGUGGAGUGAUAGUUAUGAACUUUUAAGCUAUAAUUCACCCAUCGUUGUAUGCUUUCCAAGGUAGCUUUUAUCAAUGGAGUGAUAAUUAUGAACUUUCAUGAUAGAUACCAAUGGAAAAAAAUUUAUUUAAAUAUGAGGAAAAAUUGUGGGUCUGUGAAUUUUCCAAUAUUCGUUGGAAGAAAAUUAGGAGUUAACAGGAUUGUUGAGAUAUUGUGAUUAAUCAGAGUUUAUGUUGUGUACCGGGGACGCAAUGGUUUCAAACUAGCAGAAAGGGAAAACAUAUAACUCAUUUAAUCUGAUUUGUUUUGUCCUUUUUUCCUAAAAUUUGACAUGUUUUAGCAUGCAUAACUUCAAAUUUGUCGAAGUCCUUUAAAUUCUUUUCAUCUA